rnacentral:rRNA from 1 species
AAGUCGAGCGGUAAGCCGUAGUAAUACGGCCUAGAGCGGCGGACUGGUGAGUAACGCGUGAGUGACNUACCCCCGGGGGCGGGGAUAGCCGCUAGAAAUAGCGGGUAAUACCGGAUAGAGUCGUGCGGCGGAGGUCGUGCGAGGAAAGGAGCCGAGGCUCCGCCCGGGGNAUGGGCUCGCGUCCGAUUAUGCUAGUUGGUGCGGUAAAGGCGCACCAAGGCUGAGACCGGUAACCGGCCUGAGAGGGUGGACGGUCACAUUGGGACUGAGAUACGGCCCAAACUCCUACGGGAGGCAGCAGCUAAGAAUAUUCCGCAAUGGCCGGAAGGCUGACGGAGCGACGCCGCGUGGACGAAGGAGGCCGAAAGGUUGUAAAGUUCUUUUCCGCUUGAAGAAUAAAGGAGAGAGGGAAUGCUCUCCAGAUGACGGUAGAGCGGGAAUAAGCCCCGGCUAAUUACGUGCCAGCAGCCGCGGUAACACGUAAGGGGCGAGCGUUGUUCGGAAUCAUUGGGCGUAAAGGGCGCGUAGGCGGCGCUGUAAGUCCGGCGUGAAAGGUGGAGGCUCAACUUCCACAUUGCGUUGGAAACUGGAGCGCUAGAGUCUGGGAGGUGGAGCUGGAAUUCCGAGUGGAGGGGUGAAAUCUGUAGAUAUUCGGAAGAACACCGGAGGCGAAGGCGAGC